ensembl:lncRNA
GCCUCACGUCGCUGCCGACCUCCAUCUCAUUUUCGAUUUUCUACUCUUUUGGUUUUCAGAUAAUUGGGCCAGAGGGAGGGGUGCACAACCUGGAUCCUGGGGACAAUUGGCAGAUAUAUAUCCAUGUAUCUUGCUGAGGAAGGACCAGCAGAAAGGAAGACUGGAAAUCUGACUAUUUGGACACGAAUCUCGGAGUGCUGGGCGCGAGGCGGAGGGCUUCUCACCCAUCUCCCCUCCCUGUCCCGGCAGAGAAGACUCGCCUAGUUGGGACAGGAGGCCAAGAAUGCUUUCCCCAAC